AUACCAUGAUAAGCACAUUUUCUCAAUAGCUCCUUAAAACUUUCCCAAGAGUCAUAUAAAGAUUGCUCAUCUAACUGAUAGAAGUUAUGAAUCUCCUCCAUCAAUUU